GGCCCUGUAGUUCAAUGGAUAGAAUAGGAGUUUCCUAAACUCUAGAUACAAGUUCGAUUCUUGUCGGGGCUACCA
rnacentral:tRNA from 1 species